rnacentral:rRNA from 1 species
GACGAACGCUGGCGGCGUGCUUAACACAUGCAAGUCGAACGGAAAGGCCCUGCUUUUGUGGGGUGCUCGAGUGGCGAACGGGUGAGUAACACGUGAGUAACCUGCCCUUGACUUUGGGAUAACUUCAGGAAACUGGGGCUAAUACCGGAUAGGAGCCCCUGCGGCAUGGUGGGGGUUGGAAAGUUUCGGCGGUUGGGGAUGGACUCGCGGCUUAUCAGCUUGUUGGUGGGGUAGUGGCUUACCAAGGCUUUGACGGGUAGCCGGCCUGAGAGGGUGACCGGCCACAUUGGGACUGAGAUACGGCCCAGACUCCUACGGGAGGCAGCAGUGGGGAAUAUUGCACAAUGGGCGGAAGCCUGAUGCAGCAACGCCGCGUGCGGGAUGACGGCCUUCGGGUUGUAAACCGCUUUCGCCUGUGACGAAGCGUGAGUGACGGUAAUGGGUAAAGAAGCACCGGCUAACUACGUG